UACGUAGGGGGCAAGCGUUGUCCGGAUUUAUUGGGCGUAAAGAGCGUGUAGGCGGCCAGACAGGUCCACUGUGAAAACUCGAGGCUCAACCUCGAGAGGUCGGUGGAAACCGUCUGGCUAGAGUCCGGAAGAGGAGAGUGGAAUUCCCGGUGUAGCGGUGAAAUGCGCAGAUAUCGGGAAGAACACCCGUGGCGAAGGCGGCUCUUUGGGACGGUACUGACGCUGAGACGCGAAAGCGUGGGGAGCGAACAGG
rnacentral:rRNA from 1 species